ACGAGUAGUGGUCACUUUUAUUGAGCCUAAAGCGUUCGUAGCCGGUUUUGUAAAUCUUCAGAUAAAGCCUGAAGCUUAACUCCAGAAAGUCUGAAGAGACUGCAAGACUUGAGAUCGGGUGAGUUUAAACGUACUUUCAGGGUAGGGGUAAAAUCCUGUAAUCCCGGAAGGACGACCAGUGGCGAAAGCGUUUAACUAGAACGAAUCUGACGGUAAGGAACGAAGGCUAGGGUAGCAAACCGGAUUAGAUACCCGGGUAGUCCUAGCUGUAAACAUUGCCCAUUUGAUGUUGCUUUUCCGUUGAGGGAAGGCAGUGUCGGAGCGAAGGUGUUAAAUGGGCCGCUUGGGAAGUAUGGUCGCAAGACUGAAACUUAAAGGAAUUGGCGGGGGAGCACCGCAACGGGAGGAAUGUGCGGUUUAAUUGGAUUCAACGCCGGAAAACUCACCGGGAACGACCUGUGCAUGAGAGUCAACCUGACGAGCUUACUCGAUAGCAGGAGAGGUGGUGCAUUGGCCGUCGUCAGCU
rnacentral:rRNA from 1 species